AUCCAGGUGUGGGGUUCACCUGAGGAAGGGAUUUUGGGGUGUCCCAGUGGGGCUGUGAACCCAUCCCCAGGUCUGGGAGUUUUUGGGGUGCCUUGGGUGGUUUUUGGGGCUGCCUUGGGGCAUUUUUGGGGUGCUUUGGGUGGUUUUUGGGGUUCCUUGGGUGGUUUUUGGGGUGCGUUUGGGACUCACCUGCCCAGGUGUGCCCCUCCCAGCCCAAGGUGGUGUGGCUGAAGAACCAGGUGGCCAUCGGGGAGGACCCCAAAUUCCUGGCCAGGCACAGCCAGGGGGUCCUGACCCUCCUGAUCCGCAAGCCGGGACCCUUCGACGGUGGCACCUACACCUGCAGGGCCGUCAACGAGCUGGGCGAGGCCCUGACCGAGUGUCGGCUCGAGAUUCGGGUGCCUCAGUGAUGGUGAUGAAAAAUGCCCAGCACCGUCCUGCACAGCCAGGAGGAGGAAAAGAAGAUUGUGUGGGCGACAAAAGCCCCCAAAAAAUAAAAAAUCUGAGCAAUCCCCGAGUCUGUGCUUCAUUUUGGGGAGGGGGCACCUGAGGAAUCGGGGAGCACAUUUCCCACCUUU
rnacentral:lncRNA from 1 species